rnacentral:rRNA from 1 species
GACGAACGCUGGCGGCGUGCCUAAUACAUGCAAGUAGAACGCACAGUUUAUACUGUCGCUUGCUAAACCAUAAACUGUGAGUUGCGACCGGGUGAGUAACGCGUAGGUACCCUGCCUGGUAGCGGGGGAUAACUAUUGGAAACGAUAGCUAAUACCGCAUAAUAUUGAUUAUUGCAUGAUAAUUGAUUGAAUGAUGCUAUUGCAUCCCUACUAGAUGAACCUGCGUUGUAUUAGCUAGUAGGUGAGGUAACGGCUCACCUAGGCGACGAGACAUAGCCGACCUGAGAGGGGAAUCUGACACACUGGGACGAGGACACGGCCCAGACUCCUACGGGAGGCAGCAGGAGGGGAUCUUCGGCAAUGGACGAAAGUCUGACCGAGCAACGCCGCGUGAGUGAAGAAUGUUGUCGGAUCGUAAAGCCCUUUUGUAAGAGAAGAACGGAAGUGAGAGUUGAAAGUUCACACUGUGACGGUAGCUUACCAGAAAGGGACGGCUAACUACGUG